UAACGCGUGACAAUUUGGCUUCAGUGUCGGGGACAACAGUUGGAAACGACUGCUAAUACCGGAUGUGCCGGAAGGUGAAAGGCUUGCUGCCUGAAGAUAAGCUCGCGUCUGAUUAGCUAGUUGGUAGUGUAAGGGACUACCAAGGCGACGAUCAGUAGCUGGUCUGAGAGGAUGAUCAGCCACACUGGGACUGAGACACGGCCCAGACUCCUACGGGAGGCAGCAGUGGGGAAUUUUCCGCAAUGGGCGAAAGCCUGACGGAGCAAUACCGCGUGAGGGAGGAAGGCUCUUGGGUCGUAAACCUCUUUUCUCAAGGAAGAAAAAAAUGACGGUACUUGAGGAAUAAGCAUCGGCUAACUCCGUGCCAGCAGCCGCGGUAAUACGGAGGAUGCAAGCGUUAUCCGGAAUGAUUGGGCGUAAAGGGUCCGCAGGUGGAACUGAAAGUCUGCUGUUAAAGAAUCUGGCUCAACCAGGAUAAAAGCAGUGGAAACUACAGAACUAGAGUGCGUUCGGGGCAGAAGGAAUUCCUGGUGUAGCGGUGAAAUGCGUAUAUAUCAGGAAGAACACCGGUGGCGAAAGCGUUCUGCUAGGCCGUAACUGACACUGAGGGACGAAAGCUAGGGGAGCGAAUGGGAUUAGAUACCCCAGUAGUCCUAGCCGUAAACGAUG
rnacentral:rRNA from 1 species